GCUAACGAGUGUAGGAAUGUGUA
rnacentral:siRNA from 1 species